UACAGAGACUGCAAGCGUUAUUCGGAUUCACUGGGCGUAAAGGGUGCGCAGGCGGCCGUGUGUGUGAGGUGUGAAAGCCCGGGGCUUAACCCCGGAAUUGCACCUCAAACUACAUGGCUAGAGCAUUGGAGAGGGUAGCGGAAUUCACGGUGUAGCAGUGAAAUGCGUAGAUAUCGUGAGGAACACCAGAGGCGAAGGCGGCUACCUGGACAAUUGCUGACGCUCAGGCACGAAAGCGUGGGGAGCAAAAGGG
rnacentral:rRNA from 1 species